rnacentral:lncRNA from 1 species
AUAAAAGCGCCAAAUCACAGGGUCGAUAGUUGAUACAUGGCUCAUCAUCAUAAGUUACAUUUCAUCCCUCGUCGCCUCUGUGUAAUAAAAGCUCAUACAGGCUGGCUUCUGCUGCUCUGCUCGACACAUAUAUGUUCAAUCAGCAAAAACAAAAGCAAGGAACCAAUAAGUAGCUGAAAUUUAAGAAUAACAAAAGGGAAUGUGACAUGCAGUUAUAGAAAUUCACUGGCAGAUCAGUAAGCUGUCAAAUACCUGUUGAUGUAGGAGAGUCCAAUGUAAAAAGAGGUUAAAAAAAAUUGAGAAACCACAAGGGAAGAUAAUCCUAGCUAUAGAGAACUAGGCCUCCCAAGCUGAUCUAAUGAUACUGAAGUAAAUAUGUAUACCUAGUACAGUGGCGUUUUUCUCUCAGUUCUUGUACUUCAUGGUUUCCUUUUCAAACCCAAUUGUGGGGAACUGCUUUGCAUACUCCUCAACAUCAUGGCGAAGUUUCGCAAUCUCGGAUUGGAAGUUAGCGGACUGUGUU